ensembl:lncRNA
CUGCAGACAUGCUCUGUGCCCAGCAAUGUGGCUUCUCCCUGAUGCCUUACUUGAGCUGGUGACUUCAGAGUUUGCCCUGGGAAUUUCUGAAGAUUGGAAUUUCUUCAUGCAGCCAGAAUCUAUCACUCAAGUGGUGACUACAACAUGUGCUCAGGAAAGUCCCGUGCACAAGACAAGGACAUCCAGUUCUGUUUUAAAACCAAGCUUGGAGUAGACCACACAGACAGCUCACCCACCCGCAUCGCCCCUGGAGCACGUCCAGCCUUCUGGUCCCUCGGUGGGUGCUUUUCUGUCUUCUAGGAAAGGAGACAAUCUAUAUGGAGAUCAGGAAGUCCCUAACGGCGCUGUAGUCUGACCUGAGUAGCUGACCUUGCAGGUUUAAACUCUUGAAGGAGCUGUUGGUUUUCAGUCAAGCCUCCGUCUAUAAUUUUAUCCACCAGUUUCCCAAUUAACUUCACUAAGAUGACCAGAGGUGUGUGCGUGUGUUGAAGUAAUAAUUAUCAGGCUGACUCAAUGCUGCCCUCAAGUGCUGUCUCAAAAUAUGAGAUCCGGAAGAAGAAAAGCAAGGCAAAGAGCCACUGAUCAUCAGAAAGGAAACGUGUCACCAAAAUCCACUGCACGUCUUGAAUUGCUCUUCCUGUUGCUAUUUAAAAGAGAUCAUAUUGCAAAAUAAAGU